rnacentral:rRNA from 1 species
UCGCUAGUAAUCGCGGAUCAGCAUGCCGCGGUGAAUACGUUCCCGGGCCUUGUACACACCGCCCGUCACACCAUGAGAGUCGGGAACACCCGAAGUCCGUAGCCUAACCGCAAGGGGGGCGCGGCCGAAGGUGGGUUCGAUAAUUGGGGUGAAGUCGUAACAAGGUACC